rnacentral:rRNA from 1 species
UACAGAGGUGGCAAGCGUUGUUCGGAUUUAUUGGGCGUAAAGGGUCCGUAGGCGGUUUGGAAAGUCGGAUGUGAAAUCCUACAGCUUAACUGUGGAACUGCAUUCGAAACUCCCAGACUAGAGUGUGAGAGGGGUAAAGAGAAUUCCUGGUGUAAGGGUGAAAUGCGCAGAUAUCAGGAAGAACACCCGUGGCGAAAGCGGCUCUCGUGGAACGGUACUGACGCUGAGACGGCGAAAGCGUGGGGAGCGAACAGG